GAAGGUACAGAAGUAUCUAGCAUCCUGGGUAGGUGUACCUUAGACAAUGGCCAAGAAUUCUCCUGCUCAAUUUUUCCAGCAGGGAAGCCAGAUCAAAUUUAACUUGGCUUCCAAUUCCACAGGUUUGCCCAACACCCAACACCACCUGAAAGAAACUCCUGGAGGCUGCAUAAAAAGGAAAAAGUCCGGCUCCAAUCAGGGACAUGCCUUGGAGAGCUGAGGAGAUUCCUUAAGCUGUUGUGGCUUCCUCAUGCUUGUUACUUUGGGUGCCCACCAUCAAUUUCCACAGCGGGAUUAGCCUGCACCUAUCUCCAGGACACUGGACUGUCCUGACCUUUCUGUGCUUCUGAGCAAAACCAUGAUGUAGAUUGACAGGAGGGAGUGCACCACCCCCCAACCCAGAACCCAGAAAUAAGGAUCCAGCACCAAAGACCCACCUUCCCCCAUCAGCCACAGAGCAGAGCAUCAAAAUGCUGAGCCCACGUUAACAUCCAACUAGACUAUAUUUCCGGAAUGUUCUCUUCUCAUACUAGUUAGGACAGGUAAGAAGUAACAGGAGGCAAGUAAAGAUGUUGAAGAGAAGAAAGGUCAAAAUCUGACAUUCAGCUGGGAAGAAAUUCCUUCAGGAAUCUCUGUAGAUGCUUGUAUCUGUGCCACACAGUAGAGGGGAGAGCUUCAGGGCCCCAAAGGCCAUUCAGCAGGCAUUAAUAAACUUAGGGGUUCAGACUGAAGAUACAUAGCCCUGCCCUCAAGCAGUUCCCUUUUGGACAGAGGAGCUCAGCAUCAGAAAUGUCCCAGAAGCAGUAUGUUCUCUCUGCAACGUGGAGACUUGGGAGCUGCAGAAAUUCACAUAUGAUCAAGUCAGCAUCUUGCCUUCAAGUCUUGGCCUUUGUUGGUUCAGUAGAAGAAUGGAAAGUGAAGCAGUGCAGUGGAGAUUCACAUGCAUGGAGAAGCCAGAGCUUGGGGGAGAUGCACUUCCUUCUCUACUUAAAGACAAGAAAGGAAAGAAGAAAGGGAGAAAGAGAGAGAGGGAGAAAAGAGUGCAAGAGCAAAAAAUGGUACCCUUUAGAAGUAGACACUGGUGAUGGUUGCCCAACAUUGUGAAUGUAAUUAAUGCCACUGGACUGUACACUUAAAAA